UACGGGGGGGGUAAGCGUUGUUCGGAAUUACUGGGCGUAAAGGGCUCGUAGGCGGCCAACUAAGUCAGACGUGAAAUCCCUCAGCUUAACUGGGGAACUGCGUCUGAUACUGGAUGGCUUGGAUUCGGGAGAGGAAUGCGGAAUUCCAGGUGUAGCGGUGAAAUGCGUAGAUAUCUGGAGGAACACCGGUGGCGAAGGCGGCAUUCUGGACCGAUAUUGACGCUGAGGAGCGAAAGCCAGGGGAGCAAACGGGG
rnacentral:rRNA from 1 species